CCCGCACAAGCGGUGGAGUAUGUGGUUUAAUUCGAUGCAACGCGAAGAACCUUACCUGGUCUUGACAUCCCGGAGACCCUUAGGAAACUAGGGGGUGCUUCCAUCUGGAAGAAUCUGGAGACAGGUGCUGCAUGGCUGUCGUCAGCUCGUGUCGUGAGAUGUUGGGUUAAGUCCCGCAACGAGCGCAACCCUUGCCUUUAGUUGCCAGCAGUUCGGCUGGGCACUCUAAAGGGACUGCCGGUGUUAAACCGGAGGAAGGUGGGGAUGACGUCAAGUCCUCAUGGCCUUUAUGUCCAGGGCGACACACGUGCUACAAUGGCCGGCACAGCGGGAAGCGAGGCAGUGAUGCCGAGCGGAUCCCUUAAAGCCGGUCUCAGUUCGGAUUGAAGUCUGCAACUCGACUUCAUGAAGCUGGAAUCGCUAGUAAUCGCAGAUCAGCCAAGCUGCGGUGAAUACGUUCCCGGGCCUU
rnacentral:rRNA from 1 species